rnacentral:sRNA from 2 species
CCUCCGGGGAGUAGCCCACCCGCAUCGACCGAUCAGUGCCGUCUUGACCUGCUGGAUCAACGUGUUGAGUCAACGUGCUCAACCCGCGGCUGGACCAGCACGAUCGCAACAGCACUGGUCCGUGUCGAUCCGGGAGCAUGCAUCAACAUACUUGGCCGGCUGGCCAUGGUGCAUGCGGUUCGCGCCUUGAUGGCGCAGGCCGGGCGAGACC